rnacentral:rRNA from 1 species
GAGGUGUAAAGGUGUUUGGUGUUCAACAGGGGUUCAGCUUAAUUAUUAUUGAGUGAGUGCUCAGAGAAGGUGAAAAGCCUGUGAAGUUGUGCUAGCCUGUUGGACUAUGACACUUAAGAGUCUAGUUGUUUGAGAGUACAACUUAAAGCUGGUGGUAAAUUUCAUCAAAGGCUAAAUAUAUGAGGGGACUAAUAGCGAACAAGUACCAUGAGGGAAAGUUGAAAAGAACUCUGACGAGAGAGUUCAAUAGUACGUGAAACCAUAUUGAGUAAAACAGAUAACUGUGCUGUUAUGUGGUGUGCCUAUCAACAGUUUACUUGGUGUUGUGAUGCCUUGAGUGUAGGUUGACUAUUCAGCUGAUUGCUUGAGGUUAACAUAGCCAGAUAUUCUGUGCAUUAGUGCGCCCCCGGACAUUGAAAAACUAUGCUACUGCGGCAUCGGAGUGCAACAGUCCGUACUUAGUGCGCAGUUGUACACUGGGUGCACCUGGUUGGCGUAGUUUAGCUGUGAGACAGCUGUAGGUUGCG